UGUAUGUGUGUGUGUGUGUGUGUGUGUGUAUAAAUUAUGAGGCUGCUGAACAGUUCCUGGCUUUAAGGGUAUCCCGAAAGACCUGGUUGGAAGCCUAAACUUCCGAGUUGUUUUUCAGGGAUUAGAAAAACUGAAGGACUGCUGCAAUAAGUGUGUGAAUCUGCGAAGGGAAUAUGUUGAU